AUACGUAGGGUGCAAGCGUUAAUCGGAAUUACUGGGCGUAAAGCGUGCGCAGGCGGUUUUGUAAGACAGUGGUGAAAUCCCCGGGCUCAACCUGGGAACUGCCAUUGUGACUGCAAGGCUGGAGUGCGGCAGAGGGGGAUGGAAUUCCGCGUGUAGCAGUGAAAUGCGUAGAUAUGCGGAGGAACACCGAUGGCGAAGGCAAUCCCCUGGGCCUGCACUGACGCUCAUGCACGAAAGCGUGGGGAGCAAACAGGAUUAGAUACCCUGGUAGUCCACGCCCUAAACGAUGUCAACUGGUUGUUGGGGAUUUAUUUUCUCAGUAACGAAGCUAACGCGUGAAGUUGACCGCCCGGGGAGUACGGCCGCAAGGUUAAAACUCAAAUGAAUUGACGGGG
rnacentral:rRNA from 1 species